ACGGUGAAGCCCAGCUUGCUGGGUGGAUCAGUGGCGAACGGGUGAGUAACACGUGAGCAAUCUGCCCCUGACUCUGGGAUAAGCGCUGGAAACGGCGUCUAAUACUGGAUAUGAACCGUGGAGGCAUCUUCAACGGUUGGAAAGAUUUUUUGGUCAGGGAUGAGCUCGCGGCCUAUCAGCUUGUUGGUGAGGUAAUGGCUCACCAAGGCGUCGACGGGUAGCCGGCCUGAGAGGGUGACCGGCCACACUGGGACUGAGACACGGCCCAGACUCCUACGGGAGGCAGCAGUGGGGAAUAUUGCACAAUGGGCGCAAGCCUGAUGCAGCAACGCCGCGUGAGGGAUGACGGCCUUCGGGUUGUAAACCUCUUUUAGCAGGGAAGAAGCGAAAGUGACGGUACCUGCAGAAAAAGCGCCGGCUAACUACGUGCCAGCAGCCGCGGUAAUACGUAGGGCGCAAGCGUUAUCCGGAAUUAUUGGGCGUAAAGAGCUCGUAGGCGGUUUGUCGCGUCUGCUGUGAAAUCCCGAGGCUCAACCUCGGGUCUGCAGUGGGUACGGGCAGACUAGAGUGCGGUAGGGGAGAUUGGAAUUCCUGGUGUAGCGGUGGAAUGCGCAGAUAUCAGGAGGAACACCGAUGGCGAAGGCAGAUCUCUGGGCCGUAACUGACGCUGAGGAGCGAAAGGGUGGGGAGCAAACAGGCUUAGAUACCCUGGUAGUCCACCCCGUAAACGUUGGGAACUAGUUGUGGGGUCCAUUCCACGGAUUCCGUGACGCAGCUAACGCAUUAAGUUCCCCGCCUGGGGAGUACGGCCGCAAGGCUAAAACUCAAAGGAAUUGACGGGGACCCGCACAAGCGGCGGAGCAUGCGGAUUAAUUCGAUGCAACGCGAAGAACCUUACCAAGGCUUGACAUAUACGAGAACGCUGCAGAAAUGUAGAACUCUUUGGACACUCGUAAACAGGUGGUGCAUGGUUGUCGUCAGCUCGUGUCGUGAGAUGUUGGGUUAAGUCCCGCAACGAGCGCAACCCUCGUUCUAUGUUGCCAGCACGUAAUGGUGGGAACUCAUGGGAUACUGCCGGGGUCAACUCGGAGGAAGGUGGGGAUGACGUCAAAUCAUCAUGCCCCUUAUGUCUUGGGCUUCACGCAUGCUACAAUGGCCGGUACAAAGGGCUGCAAUACCGUAAGGUGGAGCGAAUCCCAAAAAGCCGGUCCCAGUUCGGAUUGAGGUCUGCAACUCGACCUCAUGAAGUCGGAGUCGCUAGUAAUCGCAGAUCAGCAACGCUGCGGUGAAUACGUUCCCGGGUCUUGUACACACCGCCCGUCAAGUCAUGAAAGUCGGUAACACCUGAAGCCGGUGGCCCAACCCUUG
rnacentral:rRNA from 1 species